rnacentral:rRNA from 1 species
GACGAACGCUGGCGGCGUGCCUAAUACAUGCAAGUAGAACGCAGUUGCGAACGGGUGAGUAACGCGUAGGUACCUGCCUCAUAGCGGGGGAUAACUAUUGGAAACGAUAGCUAAUACCGCAUACUGUGAGAUGGACCUGCUUUGUAUUAGCUAGUUGGUGAGGUAAAGGCUCACCAAGGCCACGAUCCAUAGCCGACCUGAGAGGGUGAUAGGCCAAACGUGGACAUGGACAAGGCCCAGACCCCUACGUGAGGAAGCAGUAAGGAAUCUGCGGCAAUUGACGGAAGUCUGACCGUGCAACGCCGCGUGAGUUAAGAAGGUGUUCGGAUCGUAAAGCUCUGUUGUUAGAGAAACGGUAACUAACCAGAAAGGGACGGCUAACUACGUGCCAGCAGCCGCGGUAAUUC